ensembl:lncRNA
CUCGUAGCUGGGGCUACUUCGCAAACUGAUCUGCUUGUUUAUUUAUUUCAUCAUUAUUUCUUUUUGCAUCUUCCAUUCUCCUGUCUUGAAGAGUAUGGUUUAAAAGGCUUUUUAAAUUUUUUAUGAAAGGUGCCUUAGUUUGUGGGUACAAGUAUCAGAAGUAAAACUCAGAAGUACUGGCAUUGGUAAGUGGCUUUUGAAACUGGAGAAUGUCAAAGAAAUGUAAAUCACACUCUUCUAGGAGUGUCUAUCUUUUUCCAAGAGCUUUCGCAACCAUUAACUCAUUGGACCCCACCACAGAGUGUUCUAGCUGAGCUCUAACAAACUGGAUCGUUUCUGUUUGUGGAAAGGCAGCUGGUGGGAAGCCAUAGCUUGGUAUGAGGGAUUGGGGUUGGUGUGGGGGUGUGUCUUUGCUUAUUUCUGCUGAUGGAAGAGAGGAGAUUAUUUGGUAGACUAUGAGGCCUCGGGAACAGGAGAUGAGGAAGAGGUGGGAUGCCAUUGAUACUUUCAUGUGGCCUUGAGGCAUCUGAAUGAUGAGAGCAGGGUGAGGGCGAGUUGAAUCCUGCAGGAGAAUCCUGCUGCAUCCCCAGAGAAGCUGGGGAGGGGUGUCCUCACUGUGCACCCCUCUGCCUCAGACACUGCCAGCUGGGGCUCCCAGGGCUCCCUGAACCCAGUUGCCGUCCAGACACCCUGAAGGCGAGGUGGGGUCAAGGCAUUUCAGGUCACCUUCAUGCUGGACUUCAGUGCCACAGCAGCGACAGAAAAAACCAAGGUGUGUGACUGGGGCCUCUUCUCUGAUCUUUCAGACCCUCCUAGGGUCUGUUCUCACCUUUGGCUCUGCUGCUGCUGCUACGUCAGUUGCUUCAGUCGUGUCUGACUCUGUGCGACCCCAUAGACGGCAGCCCACCAGGCUCGCCCGUCCCUGGGAUUCUCCAGGCAAGAACACUAGAGUGGGUUGCCAUUUCCUUCUCCAACGCAUGAAGGUGAAAAGUGAAAGUGAAGUUGCUCAGUCGUGUCCAACUCCUAGCGACCCCAUGGACUGUAGCCUACCAGGCUCCCCCGUCCAUGGGAUUUUCCAGGCAAGAGUACUAGAGUGGGGUGCCAUUGCCUUCUCCACACCUUUGGCUCUAGUUCUAUCUGUUUGGGGCCCAAGGACACCAUCUGGAGUCCUGCCAUGGGGUUACUAAGCUGAGGCCAGUCAGUCCCACAGUAACUGGGGGCUGCUGAGGCUGACAGCCACGCCUACAGCCCCCCUCCUCGGCUACAGCCACGCCCCUGACUGUGACCACACCCACAGUCUCUGUCCUGCUCCAGUCACACCCACCACGGGGCUGAAACCACAUGCCAGGACGUUCCUCCUCACCACUGCUUUCAGCCGAGUGGCUGCCACCAAGUUUCUGAGAAAUGAGUCACAGGAGACUUUAACUUGGGGGAAAAUCUUGUGCCAGCUUUAUUUGGAUGUUGCAAAGGCCAGUAUGAUGAGGCCAACAGCAGUGUACCUGAACACUAAAGCUUUCAAAACUGCAUUCACAACUUUGCACUUUCUAGGCUCUGCACUACCCUCUGCGCCGUCUGGGACCAGCUCCCUGUUUGUUCUCUUUGAGUGGAAGACAGAUCAGCCAUGAGUACCUGGCACUGUUUUAUAUCUCAGUGUGGCAUUUGGUAAGGCACCUAAAGGACCUCUGGCCUUCCAGAUGCGUCUGAGCAGCCCAAUAAAACUUAAUUGCCCAUUCUGUCCCUUUGUACCUUGGAUCCUCACCAGACCCAGCAUACCAGAGCCAGCUCAGCCCUGAGAACUGUGCCAUGCCCCUUGGAAGCCCUCAGUAGGAUUUGGACUGGCUGGCCAGCUCCUGCCUCUAGAACAUGAGCUCUUCAAGGUCACAGACUGUGUCCGCUUAAGUCCUUGUUUACAAGACAGAAAUUGUUAGCAUGCGAAUGUUCUGAAGUCUUCUGCCUCAGCCCACCAGAACAACCUUGUAGUUGACAACACAUCUCCUCCCUCUCGCUGAAGAGGAGGGAUUCUUUCAGAAGACCAUUUCACCACUUCGGCUGAACCCAUGGGUGCUGCCUUCACACUGUUUACAUUUGGAGACCAUGCUUAGCACUGUGCCUGAGAGAAAUGCAGUAGAUGCUCAAUGAAUGCCCGUGGAAAGAAUGAGCAGUCACUUUACAGCAUCUGCACUGAGCCCUGGCAUCUGUCAGCUGCUCCUCUGCCUGGGGACAUGUCAGAACGCCAUCAGGCACUAAAAUAGCAACAGCUUAUAGGAGAGUGUGUUCAAGCUUGCACCAGCACCAGCUAUUAAACUUCUGACCUUUCACUUGGAUUUUCUUUCUCCCUGUAUUUUUUACAAGCAAAGAGCUACAGGAGGUCAAAAUGGAGUGAGGUCUUUGUUCCAAUGAAUAUAUUAUGGAUCAAUUAAGAUAUUCCCACUUAAAUGAGAAGCAUGCCUGUAUUUCCACUGUGGUAUUUCCAGUUGUGGCAAUUAUUGCUAAAAAGAGGUGAACUGUAUGUAUACUAUAAAGAUCAUUCUAGCCUGUGGAGGCAUAAAGCUCUUCCCUCAAGUCCAUCCCAACUGUGCUAUGAACUAGCUGUCCUUGGGCAAGUUAUGGUCUCAGAGCCUCAGUUUCCUCAUCUGUAAAAUGGGCACAGGGGGUAUUAGCAUCUUCAGUGGGUUGUUAUAAGCACUGAACAGGGCAAUGCAUCUAAAGGAUUUAUGUUCAUUAAGGCAAUACAUAUAAAGAGCUUGGAACAGUGUCAGUACUCAGUAAGUGUAGCUAUUAUUAAAAUUUAUUUUUCACCAAAGCCGGAAUGUAUAAUCCUUCUCUCCCACUCUUAAAUAGAAGUCUUAAAAAAAGGCUUUUGAUCCAAUUAUGGUAAAAAAAUAAAUUAUCAUAUACAUGGGGAAAAGACAGAAAGAAAACAUACUACCAUUUCAAUGUUUGUCUAUGGGUGUGACAUUAUAUAUAAUUUUUCUUUCCUUCUUUCAG